rnacentral:misc_RNA from 1 species
GAUGAAGAACGCAGCGAAAUGCGAUAAGUAAUGUGAAUUGCAGAAUUCAGUGAAUCAUCGAAUCUUUGAACGCACAUGGCGCCUUCCAGUAUCCUGGGAGGCAUGCCUGUCCGAGCGUCGUUUCAACCCUCGAGCCCCCGUGGCCCGGCGUUGGGGAUCUGCCACGGCAGGCCCCUAAAACCAGUGGCGGACCCGAAGGCCCUCUCCUUUGCGCAGUAGCAUCAGCCUCGCAUUGGGAUCCCUCGGCGUCCUGCCUCUAAACCCCCCACAAGUCCGCUCCGGCGGCACCAAGGUUGACCUCGGAUCAGGUAGGAAUACCCGCUGAACUUAAGCAUAUCAAUAAGCGGAGGA